AUGAAUAUCCUUAUCUUGGGCGAUGGCUGAGGUGCGCUUUCUUCUAGCUCUGAUCUUUCUCAUUGCUCCUAUUCAGUCUGAAAACUCCACUUUUCCCGAGCAGAUACACAUAGCUGCUACAGAGGAUCCCACCAGUAUAAUUGUCACUUGGAUAACCUUUGCUUCUACUCCAGAUUCCACUGUUUUGUGGCGUCUACAUGGAUCAGC